rnacentral:misc_RNA from 1 species
GAUGAAGAACGCAGCGAAAUGCGAUAAGUAAUGUGAAUUGCAGAAUUCAGUGAAUCAUCGAAUCUUUGAACGCACAUUGCGCCCGUCAGUAUUCUGGCGGACAUGCCUGUUCGAGCGUCAUUACGCCCCUCAAGUCCCCUGUGGACUUGGUGUUGGGGAUCGGCGAGGCUGGUUUUCCAGCACAGCCGUCCCUUAAAUUAAUUGGCGGUCUCGCCGUGGCCCUCCUCUGCGCAGUAGUAAAACACUCGCAACAGGAGCCCGGCGCGGUCCACUGCCGUAAAACCCCCCAACUUUUUAUAGUUGACCUCGAAUCAGGUAGGACUACCCGCUGAACUUAAGCAUAUCAAUAACGGAGGA